rnacentral:tRNA from 1 species
CAGGGCGUGGCUGAAUUAGAUAAGCGUCUCCCUUACACCGAGAAGAAACCCGUGCAAAUCGAGUCACCCUGA